GGUGGUUCUCAAGUGACGCACCCUGGAACCAGAGAGGAGGGAGCCUGAUUUCGGGGUGUGUCACUCAAGAACCACC
rfam:Myotis lucifugus cont2.52824, whole genome shotgun sequence.